AUUGAACGCUGGCGGUAGGCCUAACACAUGCAAGUCGAACGGCUGCACAGUACUAGCUUCUUCUUUCAGGGGGCGACUGGCGGAUGAUUCCUGGAUAUCUCCCUGUUUAUUUUUUCUUAGGUGCUCACGUAGGGGAUCUUACCCUAUUCCUCCUUACGACGUACGUGUGAGAUCUUGGGAUCUUCGGCCCUUGCGUGAUCGUAUGUCCCGAUGUCGGAUUAGCUAGUUGGCGGGGUAAAGGCCCACCAAGGCGACGAUCCGUAGCUGGUCUGAGAGGAUGAUCAGCCACACUGGAACUGAGACACGGUCCAGACUCCUACGGGAGGCAGCAGUGGGGAAUAUUGGACAAUGGGCGAAAGCCUGAUCCAGCCAUGCCGCGUGGGUGAAGAAGGUCUUCGGGUUGUAAAGCCCUUUUAGUGGGAAAGAAAAGCAGCAGGUUAAUACCCCGCUGUUCUGACGGUACCAAAAGAAUAAGCACCGGCUAACUUCGUG
rnacentral:rRNA from 1 species